CGGGACGUAGCGCAGCUUGGUAGCGCAUCUGAUUUGGGAUCAGAGGGUCGCUAGUUCGAAUCUAGUCGUCCCGACCA
rnacentral:tRNA from 3 species